UAACACGUGGGUGAUCUGCCUCGCACUCUGGGAUAAGCCUGGGAAACUGGGUCUAAUACCGGAUAUGACCACGAAUCGCAUGGUUUGUGGUGGAAAGAUUUAUCGGUGCGAGAUGGGCCCGCGGCCUAUCAGCUUGUUGGUGGGGUAAUGGCCUACCAAGGCGACGACGGGUAGCCGACCUGAGAGGGUGACCGGCCACACUGGGACUGAGACACGGCCCAGACUCCUACGGGAGGCAGCAGUGGGGAAUAUUGCACAAUGGGCGAAAGCCUGAUGCAGCGACGCCGCGUGAGGGAUGACGGCCUUCGGGUUGUAAACCUCUUUCGACAGGGACGAAGCGCAAGUGACGGUACCUGUAGAAGAAGCACCGGCCAACUACGUGCCAGCAGCCGCGGUAAUACGUAGGGUGCGAGCGUUGUCCGGAAUUACUGGGCGUAAAGAGCUUGUAGGCGGUUCGUCGCGUCGAUUGUGAAAACUUGCAGCUCAACUGCAAGCUUGCAGUCGAUACGGGCGGACUAGAGUACUUCAG
rnacentral:rRNA from 1 species